rnacentral:rRNA from 1 species
UACGUAGGGUGCGAGCGUUAAUCGGAAUUACUGGGCGUAAAGCGUGCGCAGGCGGUUUUGUAAGCCAGAUGUGAAAUCCCCGGGCUCAACCUGGGAAUGGCAUUUGGGACUGCAAGGCUGGAGUGUGGCAGAGGAGACUGGAAUUCCUGGUGUAGCAGUGAAAUGCGUAGAUAUCAGGAGGAACACCGGUGGCGAAGGCGCUGCUCUGGGCCGGUACUGACGCUGAGGAGCGAAAGCGUGGGUAGCAAACAGG